rnacentral:rRNA from 1 species
GACGUAGGGCGCGAGCGUUGUCCGGAUUUAUUGGGCGUAAAGAGCUCGUAGGCGGCUUGUCGCGUCGUCCGUGAAAACUUGGGGCUCAACCCCAAGCUUGCGGUCGAUACGGGCAGGCUAGAGUUCGGUAGGAGAGACUGGAAUUCCUGGUGUAGCGGUGAAAUGCGCAGAUAUCAGGAGGAACACCGGUGGCGAAGGCGGGUCUCUGGGCCGAUACUGACGCUGAGGAGCGAAAGCGUGGGGAGCAAACAGG